UAGGGAAUAUUGGACAAUGGGGGCAACCCUGAUCCAGCCAUGCCGCGUGAGUGGAGAAGGCCCUCGGGUUGUAAAGCUCUUUUGUCCGGAAAGAAAAGCAUUCGGUGAAUACCCGGAUGUUCUGACGGUACCGGAAGAAUAAGCACCGGCUAACUUCGUGCCAGCAGCCGCGGUAAUACGAAGGGUGCAAGCGUUACUCGGAAUUACUGGGCGUAAAGCGUGCGUAGGUGGUUGUUUAAGUCUGAUGUGAAAGCCCUGGGCUCAACCUGGGAAUGGCAUUGGAAACUGGGCAGCUAGAGUGCGGUAGAGGGUAGUGGAAUUCCCGGUGUAGCAGUGAAAUGCGUAGAGAUCGGGAGGAACAUCUGUGGCGAAGGCGACUGCCUGGACCAGCACUGACACUGAGGCACGAAAGCGUGGGGAGCAAACA
rnacentral:rRNA from 1 species